rnacentral:rRNA from 1 species
AUGUCCGGGACCCAAGGUUGGGCAGACCUCCCAGAAGGCCUGCUGCACUCUAUCGUCGCUCGGAUGGGCCUGGGCUCUGCCCCAGAUCUUCUUGCAUUUGCUGCCACCUGCCGUUCUUGGGGUACUGCUUUUGCCGGCUCCAUAGCAACAUUCCCACCUCUCCUUCUCCAACCUGAUGUUUCUUCCUCCCCUCCUAAUGCUAGCCCCUUUAGCAACAACCUGGUGCCCAAUCGUCCAUAUCUUGUCACAGAUAUAGCCAAAGUCAACCAUGGUGCCAACCUUUGCUCUGAGAUUCCUCUACGUCUGGAAUGGUUUUCCUUCAUGGGGGCUUCCUUUGGCCAUCUCAUUUUGUACAACAAAAAAUCUUGUAUCGUUGUUGAUGUGUCUAGAGGUGUUAGCGUCUCACCUCCACAACUACCACUCGUCGAAUGCGCUGAGCCCAACUAUGGUGCCCUUACUGCUCCUCUCACAUCACCCAACUCUCAUCUCAUUGUCGAGGCUGGACCACAUAAUCUGUUUUGGCGUGUUGGUAGCGACUCGUGGGUGAGAUGUUCUACUCGUCAUGGACAUAUCAAGCAAAUCGUGGUCUUCAAAGGACGGGUGUUUGGCAUGGAUUCUGAUCGCAGAAUCUUCAAAGUGCACUUGACACCCCAGAUUAGCAUCCAAGAACUACCAGUCAUCGAGUCAAGCAUGAUCAGUAAGCGGAAUCUUUCCAAUGCAUGGCUGGUGGCGUGCGGCGAUAUGCUUCUCUUGGUCGGCUGUCGGGGAUCUAUCAUAGUAUCAGGGGUAACCUUUGAAGUCUUUCGCCUUGACCUAUCAUUUGAGCCUGCAUUGUGGUUCAAGGUGGAGAAGCUAGAGCAUUGGGCGAUAUUCAUCAGCACGGACAAGAGAAGCCAGGCUUUGUCUUGCAUGAACCCAGAGAUAUGGGGAGGGCGGAGCAACUGCAUAUACUGCUAUAACCAUGAGUCUGGACAUUGGAUUGCACUUGAGCUCGGCAAGCCGCUGCAGGGAGAUGUCUUUAUUUUCAUGGGUUGUGACGCCAAGGUGCAACCUAUGUGGGUUGUCCCCAGCAUGCUCUCUCUGUGUAGCAGGUUUGAUUUUGUCUUUGUGGUUUCCCUUCUACUCUUUUGGUUUGCUGAAAAUUUAGUUUUCCGGCCGAGCGACGACAACUCCAUAGAAAUCUUGCGAUAA